GGAGGGUGCGAGCGUUAUCCGGAAUUACUGGGUUUAAAGGGUGCGUAGGCGGCCAUGUAAGUCAGGAGUGAAAGUUUGCGGCUCAACCGUAAAAUUGCUUUUGAUACUGCAUGGCUGGAAUUAGGAUGAGGUCAGCGGAAUGUGGCAUGUAGCGGUGAAAUGCAUAGAUAUGCCAUAGAACACCAAUUGCGAAGGCAGCUGGCUAGACCUGGAUUGACGCUGAGGCACGAAAGCGUGGGGAGCGAACAGGAUUAGAUACCCUGGUAGUCCACGCCCUAAACGAUGCUUACUCGACGUAUGAAACUUGUUUUUGUGCGUCCAAGGGAAACCGUUAAGUAAGCCACCUGGGGAGUACGACCGCAAGGUUGAA
rnacentral:rRNA from 1 species